rnacentral:rRNA from 1 species
AACGAACGCUGGCGGCAGGCUUAACACAUGCAAGUCGAGCGCCCCGCAAGGGGAGCGGCAGACGGGUGAGUAACGCGUGGGAACGUACCCUUUGCUACGGAAUAGCUCCGGGAAACUGGAAUUAAUACCGUAUGUGCCCUACGGGGGAAAGAUUUAUCGGCAAAGGAUCGUCCCGCGUUGGAUUAGCUAGUUGGUGGGGUAAUGGCCUACCAAGGCGACGAUCCAUAGCUGGUCUGAGAGGAUGAUCAGCCACAUUGGGACUGAGACACGGCCCAAACUCCUACGGGAGGCAGCAGUGGGGAAUAUUGGACAAUGGGCGCAAGCCUGAUCCAGCCAUGCCGCGUGAGUGAUGAAGGCCUUAGGGUUGUAAAGCCCUUUCACCGGAGAAGAUAAUGACGGUAUCCGGAGAAGAAGCCCCGGCUAACUUCGUGCCAGCAGCCGCCGUAACAC